CACCGGGCAUAGGUAGAUUGCACCGCUUUAGUGUGAGUGAGGUCUGCAGUGAAAUCACAUGGGGCCAGCACAUAUCAUAGUCUACUGGAGAUGGAGAAGAUGUUUUCUUGUGGGUCAGUAAGCAUCCGUCACUUCACAUGAAGGCAGCCAGGAGGGAGGAAGGAUGAGGACGAAGCAAGGGGACUCCUGCACCAAAUCAGUUCCAUGCAGACCAAGGAGAAGUCUCUCUCAAGCCAUACACCUCAUACUUGUGGAAAGGGAUUGAUACUGCAGCAGGAUAAUGAGCCCAAAUGCCCCAAAUCGCUUUGCUUCACUACUUGAAGACCAAAGAAAACUAGAGAGUGCCAACCAUUAUGGACUUUUUUCCACAUUCACCUGAACUCAACUCCACUUAACGUUUUCAGCGAUGCUUGAAAACUGGGAAAGCCAAGCACUCCUGACAUCAGAGAAGCUUCUGGAACAUUGCAAAAGAAUCCUAGCGUAACAGGAACGUAUUCAGUGAAAUUUAAUGCAUACCGAGUUGAUGCUUUCAACCAGUAAAAGCCAAAAGGUGGACACACCAAACACCACCAUCAUACUGUGAAAAUGCAUGUGCAUUUUUCAAAGAUUUCCUUUUUUACCUAUGAUGCUAAUAUUAUUACGAUUUGCAAAUUGCAAAGAAACAAGCUUUGAGAAUGACUGAAAUAAAAAGUAAAACCAAUACCAUACUGUAUUUCUAAAUCACAAAAACAAAAAAAGCAAAGCAAAACAUCGUCACAUCCACGAACAAGUCAAUGCAGCUUUGUACUACAGUAAAAAAUGUUGGUAGUGUAAGUUAGUGGUAUCCCUCGGAGUAUAAGUGCACACUUAUAAUAAACAAGUACAACAUGAUUUCUAUCAUUUUACUGGUUAUUUUAGGAACGUGGGAGUAUGGAAUAAUAACAGUGUGCAAUACACAUACACUUAUUCUUCAUUUGAUUACUAAUUUAAGUUACUGUGUUGUGUUGUGAUGUGUCGUGCCGUGUUGUGGCGCAUGUAGUGCCGA